rnacentral:rRNA from 1 species
CAGCGGAGCGUGUGGUUUAAUUCGAUGCUACACGAGAACCUUACCAGGGUUUGACAUGCAAGUGGUAGGAAGCCGAAAGGUGACCGACCCUUCGGGGAGCUUGCACAGGUGCUGCAUGGCUGUCGUCAGCUCGUGUCGUGAGAUGUUCGGUUAAGUCCGCUAACGAGCGCAACCCUCGCUGUGUGUUAUAUGUGUCACACGGGACUGCCGGUCUUAAGCCGGAGGAAGGUGGGGAUGAUGUCAAGUCAGCAUGGCCUUUAUAUCCUGGGCUACACACACGCUACAAUGGCCAACACAAUAGGUUGCUAAGCCGCGAGGUGGCGCCAAUCCAUAAAGUUGGUCUCAGUUCAGAUUGUAGGCUGCAACCCGCCUGCAUGAAGAUGGAGUUGCUAGUAACCGCAGGUCAGCUAUACUGCGGUGAAUACGUUCCCGGGGCUU